rnacentral:misc_RNA from 1 species
UCAACCCUCAAGCUUAGCUUGCUAUUGGAUGAAAUUUCCAGAAAUGAUAAUUCAUCCUAAAGACAAUGGCGGUGUCUUUUGACCCUUGAUGCAACGAGCUUUUCCAAAGCACGCAUUUAAAGUGGUUAAUUGAUUCUUGACCUUCUCAAUUACUUUUAA